rnacentral:rRNA from 1 species
UACAGAGGUCCCAAGCGUUGUUCGGAUUCACUGGGCGUAAAGGGUGCGUAGGUGGUUAGGUAAGUCCGAUGUGAAAUCUCCAGGCUCAACCUGGAAAUGGCAUUGGAUACUAUCUAGCUUGAGGAGUGGAGGGGGGACUGGAAUUCUCGGUGUAGCAGUGAAAUGCGUAGAUAUCGAGAGGAACACCAGUGGCGAAGGCGGCGACCUGGACGGACACUGACGCUGAGACGCGAAAGCGUGGGGAGCAAACAGG